UGCUCAUGGGGCCCGUUGCGGCUCGCU
rnacentral:sRNA from 1 species